UAGCCUAGUGGUCAAGGCUAUGGAUCGCCAAUCCGGAGACGGCGGGUUCGAUACCCGU
rfam:Aedes albopictus isolate Foshan contig103717, whole genome shotgun sequence.